rnacentral:piRNA from 1 species
GCACUGAGACCGACAGAAAGGAC